UACGUAGGGAGCAAGCGUUGUCCGGAAUCAUUGGGCGUAAAGCGCGCGUAGGUGGCUUCGUAAGUCCGUUGUGAAAGUCAAAGGCUCAACCUUUGAAAGCCGAUGGAUACUGUGGAGCUAGAGUACGGAAGAGGCGAGUGGAAUUCCUGGUGUAGCGGUGGAAUGCGCAGAUAUCAAGGAGGAACACCAAUAGCGAAGGCAGCUCGCUGGGACGUUACUGACACUGAGGCGCGAAAGCGUGGGGAGCGAACAGG
rnacentral:rRNA from 1 species